rnacentral:pre_miRNA from 1 species
ACACCAAGCUAAGUAGUAGUGCCGCAGGUGAAUGGUUUAUUCAAAUUACCUGCACUCUGCUGCUUAACUUGGAUU